rnacentral:lncRNA from 1 species
AGGAGCACCUCACUGUCUCCCUCUGCCCACCCACCUGCACCUGACAGCUGUGGGCUGUGCUCUCAGGGAGGCACCGUCAGAUGCUACCAGACUACAGAGGAGAGCACCCUCAAUCCUGACUGAAGGUUUGGGAAAAGGCUGCUCAGAAGAGGUGAUACUUGAUAUGGGCCCUGGAGGAGGAGAAGCAGUUUGAGAAGACAGCAGUGAGAGAUGGCAUCCGGGCAGGCGAGAAAUGCAAAGGGAAGAGAGGUCAUCCAGGACAAAAGUACAGAAUGAAAAGAAAAAGCAACUAAGCACGAAAUCUUGGAGAAUGUCCUCAUUGAAGGGUCCUGAGCACCAAGGGUACAGUCAGAAAUGAUGAAUCCAGAAAUGAUGCCCUCCAGAACUUCUGGUGAGGAAGGCACUCAGGAAAAUGCAGCACCCUAUGGAGGCCCAGAAAGGAGGGCAUUCAGGAAGAACACAGUCUGAUGGUGUCAAGUGCAGCGGAGGCUAAGAGAAUUCAUUUUUCACAUCUUCAUUCACUGGGAUUCUGGACCAUAAUAUAUGUAAACACACAAAAUACUAAAGAUUGAAA